GAAGGACCAGCCCAUUGCACAGCAGAGAAAGGAGGACGAUGACCCACAUGGCCAGCCGGAUGCCCCAGCUCUCCAACAGGUGUUCACAUGGCUUGAAGGGGCCUGUGGGGAGAAUCAGGUCGUCAGCUUCCAGAUGAGAAAACUAUGAUUGAGAGAAAUUCGGUGACUUGGCCAAGGCCACACACCUUAUAGGCACCUGAGGCAAAAUUUGAACUCAGUCUUUCUGACUCCAGGUCAACACCACCUAGCUGCCUCUAGUUGAGAGGAAAUGAGUUGGCCAGACUUCAUCCAGGAGACAUCUUUAUUCCUCUCAAUGAAGUUUCAGUGAGCAAGUCUACACCCUCCUUAGGGAGAUCCUCAGGGAAUCCCAAACAAAAGUUCAGCACCUGGUGAGCCAGUCUAAAUGAAAUCGUAAGGUGCCUUGAGGAAGACACAGGAGGCUGAACGUGCCAUGAUUGUCAAACUACUGCUGCCAUAUUGGCCGCUACCCCUCCUCAGACCCUGAUGGAGUGAGCCCAGGACUUGGAAUACAAAAGCCCUAGGAAGAGCAGGGCUUCCAGUUGAGCUCCCUGAAGCCAUCAUCCAGGCACUGACCCUUUCUGAAGGUGUGACGUGGCAUCUGCUUCUGUGGGUGCUGCCUCCAUCUCAGUCAUAGUUACUGAAGACCCACAGAAGAUAUUUUUCACUACCAAAGCCCUUGGCACUGUCAAAUGUUUCAACCUCAGAAGUGGAAAUGUUUAUUUCAGUGGAAACUAUGUUGAAAAUGAUGCAUUCCUUAGCCACUGCACCCUAAGGACCAUGGGACCUUUGCAUCUGAUUCACAACUGAAAACGCAUUGCUUCUCCCUGUUAGAAUAUGAAUUCCAGGGCAGCUGGGUAGCUCCGUGGACAGAGAGCCAAACCUGGAGUCAGGAGGUCCUGGGUUCACAUUUGGCUUCAGAUACUUCCUAGCUGGACAAGUCACUUCAUCCCUAUUCCCUGGUCCUUACAGCUCCUCUGUCUUGGAGCCAGCACACAGCAUUGACAGAAGGGAAAGAAGAAAGGCAGCUCAUCUCUAAGCUGGAGACUUAGGGAAGGGACUCGAGCCUCCCAUCUUCUAAAAGCCCGGCCAACAGAACCCCGCUCUCUAAUCCGAGGUGCAGGCCUCAGCCUGCCACGGUGCACAGAGACCCGCCAACAACCCUCCCGUUUGCACUGCUGCGGUUGGGUUCCAAAUGUCCCCCUCAGGCACUGAAUGUUUAUUGGGAGAGAGACGGAGAGAGGCUGGAGACCAAAGGAGAAGAGAGGAAAUGUUCUCUCUGAACAAAGAGACUGAGGAACGGACGGAGGGACAGCAGCGCUCCAGAGCCAGAUGGAGAGGGGCCAAAGCCCAGACCA